rnacentral:rRNA from 1 species
GUAGGUGGCAAGCGUUGUCCGGAAUUAUUGGGCGUAAAGCGCGCGCAGGCGGUUCUUUAAGUCUGAUGUGAAAGCCCACGGCUCAACCGUGGAGGGUCAUUGGAAACUGGAGAACUUGAGUACAGAAGAGGAAAGCGGAAUUCCACGUGUAGCGGUGAAAUGCGCAGAGAUGUGGAGGAACACCAGUGGCGAAGGCGGCUUUCUGGUCUGUAACUGACGCUGAGGCGCGAAAGCGUGGGGGGAGCAAACAGGAUUAGAUACCCUGGUAGUCCACGCCGUAAACGAUGAGUGCUAAGUGUUAGGGGGUUUCCGCCCCCCCCUUAGUGCUGCAGCUAACGCAUUAAGCACUCCCGCCUGGGGAGUACGGCCGCAAGGCUGA